rnacentral:rRNA from 1 species
AUUGAACGCUGGCGGCAGGCCUAACACAUGCAAGUCGAACGAGUGGCGGACGGGUGAGUAAUGUCUGUGAACCUGCCUUAUGGAGGGGGAUAACUACUGGAAACGGUAGCUAAUACCGCAUACCUGCAUAUGUUCCCAGAUGGGAUUAGCUAGUUGGUGGGGUAACGGCUCACCAAGGCGACGAUCCCUAGCUGGUCUGAGAGGUUGACCAGCCACACUGGAACUGAGACACGGUCCAGACUCCUACGGGAGGCAGCAGUGGGGAAUAUUGCACAAUGGGCGCAAGCCUGAUGCAGCCAUGCCGCGUGUGUGAAGAAGGCCUUCGGGUUGUAAAGUACUUUCAGCAGGGAGGCGUUACCCGCAGAAGAAGCACCGGCUAACUCCGUGCCAGCCGCCGCGGUAAUAC